GAUCCUGGCUCAGGAUGAACGCUAGCUACAGGCUUAACACAUGCAAGUCGAGGGGCAGCAUGUCGGUUGCUUGCAACCGAUGAUGGCGACCGGCGCACGGGUGAGUAACGCGUAUCCAACCUACCCUUGUCCAUCGGAUAACCCGUCGAAAGGCGGCCUAACACGAUAUGCGGUUCACAGCAGGCAUCUAACGUGAACGAAAUGUGAAGGAGAAGGACGGGGAUGCGUCUGAUUAG
rnacentral:rRNA from 1 species